AGAAAGACAAAGAAAUUUAAUGAAAUUAAAUAAAUUGUUCAAUAUCUCGAAACAAUGCAGUAGGGAUGAUGCUGUAAGUUAAGUGGAAGUAUACUCUAGGUAUCAUCUGUAGGGAAGUGAGAAAGGGGAAGGAAGCCAACACUCAAAUGACAAGGUUGACCAUUCUCUGGCAAGAAGACAAACCUUGUGUGAAGAGCUACACGUUCUUGGAAUAAGAAAUCCUCAACAGUUUUGAGUAUGGAGCUUGUUUAAGUAUGCUAAGAAAAAUUGUUGUUCUCUACAAAAAAAACUAUUCUUUAUUCCUUCAAAAAAUGUGGAGUUGAAGUUGUUCAAAAUAUAGAUAAUGACAACAAAAGCUUGGAGAGACAAAAAGGACAAUAAAUCACUUCAGGACAAAAUUCCAUUUCACUCUGUCUCCUGUAGAAGAAAGGCUGGAAAUCUUGGAACAAACCAAAGAAAUGGACAUUAAUGAUGAGUCAUUUUGAUCAAAGAGACCAAAAUAAGGGCAGACAACAAUCUCUAGACAGAAGAUAAUGGCAGCUGAAUGUUGAUGAAGAUUUCCCUGAUAUGAUUUCAGUUAAUUAAGAACACCAGUGUUUCUGAAAAUGGAACUUCCUCUGUAUCAGAGGCAGGGGGAGAUCAUUUUGACAGUUCGAAUGAUCUGAGAGUUGACUGGAGUCAUUUGGAAGUUUGAGGUCAGGAAACAACUUUGACGCAAUUAUUAAUCAUGAUGGACAUGUUCACCCCAUUAGCUACUUAAAAUCCAAUUUGGUGGGGCCUUAGUAUAGUAUCCAUUAAAAAGCAUUGUAUGACAAUUUUUUCUUCCUUUAGAAAUAAACCAACUUUCUCAUCUUUGUUAAAUCUGAGAAGGAAAAAAUGUGCAUAAACGGGAAUACAUAAACCGAUUGUUCACUCUUUAACAAGGCAGUAGGUCUCCUGACCAAGCAUUCCCAUGUGGCCAUCAUCUGCCAGUGAUCUGCUUCCAUUAUAGCAGCUUUGAGGAAAGAGGCAUGCAGAGAAAGAUAUAUACCAUUUACACUGAGGAGUAGCUUGAUGGUUGAUGGGCAACACUCUCUCCGUGGUGCCAGCAAACAUGUAUUUUAGAACUAUUCAUAGUUCAAUUUUAGAGAGUGUAAUUCUCUGAUACAAAAGCCUCUUGAUUUAUGGAUAGUUAUGAGACAAACUGUUCGUCUCAUACUUCUCAGUAAAAGGUGUUAUAAGGCAUUUUUGUAAAGCUGUUGUUAUUGUCCCAAAAAUAAAUCUCUAAGGACAACAUACAGAAUUCAGUUUUUUCUUUUUCUCCAAACAAAUGCAAUA